UCCCCCUCCGCCUCGCUCUGUCACUAUGAAUCUGUCUUCCUCUUCCUCCUAGACCCAGUGCUCGGCAGGAAGGAGCGUAGCGCACUGUCCUUACGGCAGGACAUUCAUAGGACAAGAGCUUGGUACCAGAUCUACUCACAUAAUCACUAGCGAGCUCCGAGCACUCGCCAUGGAAGUAGAGAGAAAACUGAAGCAUCAGGGGACCAGAAGGAGCUGUAGGGACCAUUAUAAGG